CCAUUUUAGCGUUCGAGCGGCGCGCACGCGUUUCAUAUUUGGAAUUGACGGCAUUUAAAAAAAGUCGGAUUUCGAACUAAUUUCGUGUUGUAUGCCAGUGUGUUUUGUUGGAGGUGUAUUGCUGUGUUCGAAAUAUAAAUCUGUAACGGUUUUGUUAGUUUUGAAUAGUAAAUCGUAAAUAGGUUGUGUUUCGUCACUGGUGGGGGUAUUAUUUUUAGCAUUUAGCUUGUUAAAGCUGUUGGUGUGAUGUGAGACGGAUCUUAAUUUAGCGGUGCACAUGAGUGUGAACGCAGAGCCCAUCUGCAGUAAUUAAAGUAAAAUGAAAAAGAAGAGAAAACCAAACAGCGAAGUGAAAUAAAUAUAACAAAAAAAUAAUUUUAAAAGCAUUUAUUUAUAAAAAAACUCGCAUGGUUUAAACGGACUUUAUCCAGACAGAGACUGGGAGUGAAAUAAAAAAACAAAAUUAAAAAAAAAACACGGCUCUUUAUACAACUUACUCGUAUUCAUAAACAAACUUCAGGCCAUUUUCGAAAUCGGAACACAAAUAAGUAAUCGCCGUUUAAAAGGUGAUCGCUUUUGUUUAAACAUUUUUGGGACUGCCGCCUUUUUAUGUUUAUUUACCGUUUAAAGUAUUUUCGAAAAACAGUGGGAGUGCAAACACUCGAUUUUUGAAUGCAGUUGAUAUUCUAGUCGGUAAGAAAUUAAGAAAAAGUAAAAAAAAACGCGGGAAAGUGAAUGACAUUUCGUGAAAUUUUGACAUUUGGUGGUUUGGCGCCGUUUUUGGUAGUUUUUUGUGUGGGAUUGUCGAGAAUUUGUGUCAAAGUGGCUGGAGACGAGCAUUUGGACAUGUUGGGGGGGCCCGAAUGGGGGCAACGGGAGUCCAGCCCCCCUAGAGACGCUCCCCUGCCGAGUUUCGGCUUCACACAGGAGCAAGUCGCGUGCGUUUGUGAGGUACUACAACAGGCGGGUAACAUAGAACGCCUAGGCCGUUUCCUGUGGUCCCUGCCGGCUUGCGAGCGCCUCCAUGCACACGAGUCAGUCCUCAAAGCAAAGGCCAUGGUGGCCUUCCAUAGAGGCAACUUCAAGGAGUUGUACCGGCUGCUGGAGUCACAUACCUUCAGUCCGCACAACCAUCCCAAGUUACAGAGCUUAUGGCUAAAAGCACAUUAUAUGGAAGCAGAGAGGCUUCGCGGACGGCCUCUCGGCGCCGUCGGUAAAUACCGCGUCCGACGCAAGUUUCCUCUGCCCAGGACUAUAUGGGAUGGAGAAGAAACUUCAUAUUGUUUUAAAGAAAAGUCCCGAUCAGUGCUACGUGACUGGUACCUCCAUAAUCCGUACCCCUCGCCCAGAGAGAAACGGGAACUAGCAGAGACCACCGGUCUAACUACGGUACAAGUUUCAAAUUGGUUCAAAAACAGGCGGCAGCGAGACAGACAGGCCGAACACAAGGAUAGCGGCGGGCCGGGCGACAAGCAGCUGGACUCGUCGUCGGACUCGGACAGCGACGCGGCGGCCGGCGCGGCGCACGCGCUGGCGGCGCACGCGCCGGCGCCGCUGUACCCGCUCUACGAGCACCCGCUCGCGCACCUGCAGUACCAUCACUCGUGACCCGCGCAGCACCACCACGAAGAAAAACUUCAAUGGACGAAAAUUGGAUCUAUACUCCACACUAAAGAAUUUUCGAAAAUUUGAUACAUAUCACAAAUCAAUACACAGUUAUGAAAUCCAUUUUAGCUGUAAUUUUAAUUGUAGAAAUAAUGCUAAGUCAACACUGUUUAUGUCCAAAAUUUUAAAUUAAGUUUUUCAAAUUAUUUGUGAUUUAACACAUGGCUUCCUACAGCGAUAAGUUUAAGAUACCUAGAUAUUUUUAAUUUAUUAUUUAAUUAUUUUGUACAAUUAUUAUAAAUAAAAUACCAAUUAUAAAAUUAAGUUCUAUGUUAUAGUUGUUUUAUAAUAUUGUAAUAUUAAUACUACAUGAGAUCUGAUUUUUUUGACAGCGUUUGUAUAGAAAAUAGUUAUGUCAAACCGCUAUAUGAAUUCCUUAGAUGGAAGUUAAUUGAUGAUUGAAAAAUCGGCCUUAAAUUAUAUAGGUAAUACGAUUUAAACAAAUAGGUAUAUAGAUCUUAUUUAUAGUAACUAAUGAAGCUGUUUUAAUUUAAAGUUAAAUGUUUAUUAUUUUUUAGCAUCAUCAAGAAUAAAGUUCAUACUUAUUAUAUCACUGACUAAACUGCUUACGAAAUUCGUUAAAAUUAAUAAUAUGUAUUUGAAUACCUAGGCUUGUAUUGAAUUAAUGAUGGACCUCUAAAUAACUGUUCUUUCUCAGUGGUUUGAAAAUAAAUUCAAUUCUACAUAACUAACAUUAUACAUAAUACACAUUUAAGCUUCUUAUGCAAUAAAUAGAUAAUAAAUAAAAAAUACUUGUGAUAAUUCGAACUCAUUUGCAGUUUUUUAUUUAUUAAAAUAUUUUUUUUUUGUCACAUCCAACACAGAACCUGUUAAUAUAUUAUUAUUUAUUGAAUAAGUGAAAUAGUAAAAUAAUUUAUUGAAUUAAUAAAACACACAAUGUGCUGUACAAUAUAAUUUUAGUUCAUAUUAAGCUGAUUAUUAUUAUUUGGUAUCUUUUUAAACAAACGUGUGUUGUUCA
rnacentral:misc_RNA from 1 species